rnacentral:rRNA from 1 species
GUGGGGAAUCUUGCGCAAUGGGCGAAAGCCUGACGCAGCCAUGCCGCGUGAAUGAUGAAGGUCUUAGGAUUGUAAAAUUCUUUCACCGGGGACGAUAAUGACGGUACCCGGAGAAGAAGCUCCGGCUAACUUCGUGCCAGCAGCCGCGGUAAUACGAAGGGGGCUAGCGUUGCUCGGAAUUACUGGGCGUAAAGGGCGCGUAGGCGGACAGCUUAGUCAGAGGUGAAAGCCCAGGUCUCAACCUUGGAAUUGCCUUUGAUACUGGCUGUCUUGAGUUUGGGAGAGGUGAGCGGAACUCCGGGUGUAGAGGUGAAAUUCGUAGAUAUUCGGAAGAACACCAGUGGCGAAGGCGACUCACUGGCCCAAUACUGACGCUGAGGCGCGAAAGCGUGGGGAGCAAACAGGAUUAGAAACCCUAGUAGUCC